AUCGCAUGAUGCAGUGUGAAAAACUCCGGUGGUAUAAGAUGGACCCGCGUUGGAUUAGCUAGUUGGCGAGGUAACGGCCCACCAAGGCGACGAUCCAUAGCCGACCUGAGAGGGUGACCGGCCACAUUGGGACUGAGACACGGCCCAAACUCCUACGGGAGGCAGCAGUGGGGAAUAUUGCACAAUGGGCGAAAGCCUGAUGCAGCGACGCCGCGUGAGCGAAGAAGUAUUUCGGUAUGUAAAGCUCUAUCAGCAGGGAAGAUAAUGACGGUACCUGACUAAGAAGCACCGGCUAAAUACGUGCCAGCAGCCGCGGUAAUACGUAUGGUGCAAGCGUUAUCCGGAUUUACUGGGUGUAAAGGGAGCGCAGGCGGUGCGGCAAGUCUGAUGUGAAAGCCCGGGGCUCAACCCCGGUACUGCAUUGGAAACUGUCGUACUAGAGUGUCGGAGGGGUAAGCGGAAUUCCUAGUGUAGCGGUGAAAUGCGUAGAUAUUAGGAGGAACACCAGUGGCGAAGGCGGCUUACUGGACGAUAACUGACGCUGAGGCUCGAAAGCGUGGGGAGCAAACAGGAUUAGAUACCCUGGUGGUCCACGCCGUA
rnacentral:rRNA from 1 species